rnacentral:lncRNA from 1 species
GGGCCUUUUUGCGAUCGGGGACGGCUUGGAGAGGUCCAGCAAUGAGAGAUGGCGGGUGGUGGUCCUCUGCUCGAGUUCGGCGGUGUUUAGGGAACAAUGGAGACUGGUAGAGGUUGGAGGAAAGAACACCGGAGCUUUGGCACCACGUUGCGAAGGUCGGCAUGUGGUUGCGGACAAGCUUUGAGCACCAGGGAGCGAAAACCACGGCGACGGCGAGUUCAUUCGCCGGUGAGAUCAAUUCCUCGCCAAAACAAAGACUAAAGAACUUCCUUGGUACGGUGGAUGGAAAAGGCGAGAGCAGGGAAGGAGCUAGGGCUAAAUAGGGACUCGAUUAGGGCGUGAUUCACGGAAAAUCCUGAGAAAUUGGGUUGGGUUCCCUCCUGGCCGUGUUCGGCUCGCUCACGGCGAGAGGAUGGAGGAGAGGGAAAGGAAGCCGCUGACCUAUGGGUCCAACGCAUCAGUGAGAGAGAGACUGGGGCCGACUCAUCAUACACAGAGAAGGAAUGGGGAAAGAGAGAGGGCGCGGGGGUCGCUUCAGCUGGGCUGGUUGCGCGCGUGCUGGGCCACGGGUUGGGCCGUGUAGAGAAAGGGCAGGGGCAGGCCGAGAGGGGAGGGGAGGAGUGGGCCUUCGGGCCAGAAUCAGGUGGGAGAGUUUCUAUUUUAUUUUUUUCUUUUCUUUUGUUUGUUGGUUUCUUUUUAUAUUCAAGGUCUUUUCAGAAUAGUUUAAAAUCAAUUUGAACAUAUUUUUGACUUUGCUCAAAUUCACACAGUGAAAUAAAACAUAUGCUCCAUCAUGAAUGCUAAAAUCAUGUUGCUAAAUUCCUUAGGUAAAUUUUAUUUUAAUGAAAAAAAAUAUUAUUUCCCUAUAUUUCAUGAGCACAAAAAUUCAUAAAUAAAUCAUUUUAGCUCUAUUUCCAAGAAAACAAUUUUUAGGGUGUUACAAAUCUACCCCCCUUAAAAUAAAUCUCGUCCUCGAGAUUCGAAAGAGGCAUGGAUUCCAAGAGAAAAAUAGGAAAAAGAUCUUAAUAACUCUUUCAACUUCACACUUGCAUACCAAAUGUAAACACUUAUGUCUCAGGAUCAC